UGGCGUCCUGCUGUCCCUUUCCCUCCGCUGCUCUACCUGAAGUUGCGAUUCUUUAAUUCCCCCACCUCCCUUAGUCUCCUCAAAUCCCUUUUGCUGUCACUCCCUUCCUGAAGCAGACAGGCCCACUUAAGGCUAAAAAUCCACUUUGGUCUGCUGAACUCACCGGUUUUUUGCCACUGCGUUACUCCCACGGCGGCCUUACCUGGCUGGUGCUCUCCAGCCGUGGCGACUUAGACAUUGCACUACGCAUUUCUGUUUUCUGUAUGUAACGGAGUUAGGGUACAAAGAAGGUGUAAAUGGAACAAAAUAAUAACCUAACAAUGCGAAACCUUGGUUCUGAUUGCAAUGUGGCUGUUAAUUUUUUUUUUUUGAAACAGGGUCUGGCUUAGUUGCCCAGGUUGGAGUGCAUUGGUGCGGUCAUAGCUCACUGCGGCCUCGAACUCUUGGUCUCAAGCCAUCUUCCCGUCUAGGCCUCACAACGUUCGGGGACUUCAAAGUGUGAGCCACCACGCCUGGCUAAUAUGUUGGUCACCAUAUUCUGUGCUAGCCUGGCCCUAACCAUCAAGCAAUGACAUAGCAACGCAGCACGGCUCCCAGGAGGAACAUUAUCACAAACUGCCAUCUGCCAUAAGAAGCGGUCUUAGCCUACAUCUAAGCGCUU